GGAUGAAUAUUGGACAAUGGGGGCAACCCUGAUCCAGCCAUGCCGCGUGUGUGAAGAAGGCCUUAGGGUUGUAAAGCACUUUCGUCUGUGAAGAUAAUGACAGUAGCAGCAGAAGAAGCUCCGGCUAAAUUCGUGCCAGCAGCCGCGGUAAUACGAAUGGAGCGAGCGUUGUUCGGAAUCACUGGGCGUAAAGGGUGCGCAGGCGGUUAUGACAGUCAGAAGUGAAAUCCCAGGGCUUAACCCUGGAAUU
rnacentral:rRNA from 1 species